GUGCUCAUGCUCACUAUCAAGAACAACACUCAGCAUCAAGUGACUGGGUUGAUAAAAAGUGUGCAUUUGUCAAACCUGCAAGACGAAGUAAAGAAACAGAAGUCAUGUAAAUCUUUGUGGUUCCAUUGCUACAAAUGGAAGCAGGUAAAAUACAUUCCUCUAUGAUCUUGCUGCUGUUAAGAUUUGAACUCGCCUUUUCUUCCUCCGAACUGCCAUUGACUAACAAAGAAGGGUACAAUCUUUCAUCGUAGGUAAAUCCUUGCCUUCAAGUUGGCAUGUGAAGUGUUGUGACUGCUCUUAGAAAUAAUUUUGUAGUAUAUUGUAAGGAUAUCCAGCAAUAGUUUCCUAUAAACUGUUAUUUCGGCAGUCGAAAAAUAAUAUGCCAUUAAAUCAGGAAGGAGCCUUGCAUAUCCCAUUACAACUAUUUCUUUCCUAUUUUUCAUAAUAACCUUUGUGUUUAUUGUCUUCACUCUGAAAUCUAUCUACAAACAAACUCAAUGCAAUAUUGAUACUUCUACCAUACAAAGUGUGCUAUGUUUCAAAACACUAGCAUUGGUGUCUUGUAGCUAUUACUAUUCCUUAAUGUUUAGGUAUAUAAUGCCUCCACGUAUUUGUAUUAAACACUAACAUUCAGUAUUACAAAUAGAUGGGCGUAGCAACGCGCGCCAUCCAUGAUCUAGUGUACAUAGUAUCUGAGACAAGAGGAGCCUCUCACGGUAAUUGGCCGACCAGCGUGGGUCCGAAGGGCGUGGUAAUGGACUUUUUUGUCCGAUUGUUGCCGAUAAUUUAUUAAGCAUGAGUUUGUAUAUGUCUCCCCCCAUAAUUAAAUAAAUAAAUUUGAAUAUGUUUGCUCCGAGAUCAAUAGGUACUACAUUGGCUAGAAAACGAGGCUCAAGCACACAAAAAUUGCAACUGGCCAUCCGAAACUUUGGUCAACCCAAAUGUAUGAACAUGUAAUAGCAUUACUAUGUUUACAAAAAUAAAAUACAAGUGCAAUAUUCUUGAUGCUAAAACAAAUUUGGAAAACAUAUUUGACUGCAUCAUCACAUAAAACAUAGAUGUCUAACAUUAAAAAAGGGAUCUGAAGACAUCUAUGGAGGCACAUGCAUAUGAAGACAUCUCAAUGCUAUCAAAUUUAGUAGUUACAAACUAACGUUGCACACAAUGCUGAACAUAUUUUUCAAGUACUUCCAAUUUGAUAUAUAGCAUGUAUAACAUAUACCAACAUACUUUGGGUCAAGUAUUGCGCGACAAAUUGUUUACAGCCUUCUAGAUAUUAAUACAAUAUUCAAUAUUGUAUACUAUAUUAAUUAAUCUGUCUGCAAACAUGUUGCCUAGCAUAAUAGUUGUUAUUGUGAUGUUCUCAAUGGUAGCAUAUUUUCAUUGCAGAUGAUUAACUUAAAAAUGUUUGACCAUCACAAGGAAACAAAUUGGAAAUGUUUGACUCGCGCAAAUGCUAAAGGGGGCUAUAUUUUCAAGCCGAGAUAAUAUCACAGUAAUCUUUUUUUGACACGACGGUAAUCAUCUUUGGUUGUGUAUGUAGUGUUGCUUCAGCCUAGAAAAAUUCCAAUUGCGAGUCGCUGAAAGUGGAGUGUGUGAGACACUUACUUUUUUACAAGAGCUCCCAUGGUUUUGGAAAAAGGAAAAACAGUUCCAGCCCGCUGGCCCAUGGGCCCAUUUGCACGGUUGGUGGCGAUAAGUAUGCCAGUUAGAACAAGCUUCACAUUGCAUCAGAUCCUAUAUCCUUAAAUAGUGGCUACCCAUUACCUAUUUUCCUCGUCAUGCAACUAUGUCAUGUCCUCAAGUCAUACAUGUGGUCACAAGUUACAAUUCAUGCACUAAUCUAUCCAUGAUUUGUUUCACUAAUUAUUGUGUGAUGCUUGGAACAAAUAUAUGUAUGUCAUGUUACAUAUUUUUGUUAUGUAGGCGCCCCGUUGAUAUCAAUGCAACAGUUUUCUCUUUUUAUACAACAUUUUAUCACAUGCUUCGUAUGCUUUCCUGUUUUUUAAAGACAAACUGACUGCAAUUUUAAAUUUGUUUUUGUUAUAGUUUUAAAAAAUUUAGCACCUAUUUAUGCAUCUGUUUUGUUAGGCUUCCCGGUGCAACGCGCAGGCCUUCAUCUAGUUGUUUCUGAAGUUGUAACCCAUGCAACCAAUUGGCGUCAAAAACAUAAGGAAAGGAAAAGGAGUGAGAACGAUAGCUUAUGAAGCUACAAUCAUUGCCCGCAUCAUGCAGAAUACAAAACUCUAACGUAGGUAGUAAUUAUACCACAUAUUCUACGGUUACACACCCCGAACGACAGAAAAGGGUGAGCACAUGCAUUGCAACAGCAAACAGGGCAGGUUUAGCUUCUUUUUAUUUUGAUGGAACAGGGCAGGUAUAGCUAAAAACGUCCACUGGGACAAGUGGGCAACAUGCUGAUUCAUUUAAAAAAAUUUGUGGGGUGGGCAACAUGCUGAUACUAGUACAAGACUGUUUGUCUGUUUGUAUCCUUGGGGGGCUCGCCAGAGGUCUUUGGUCUUGAAAAGAGAAGCCAUUUAACACGUUGAAACUAGCCACAAUGAAGAGUAACAUAUACUAGUAAGAUACACAUAUCCUUAGACUAUGUUACUAUCUUUACAAUGGGUAGUAGCAAAAAUGUGGUGUUAUAUAAAGCUUUAUUUAUUAGGUUAUAGACUCAUAUUGCAUUGGGACAUGUGAUGUUACAGUAAACUACCUCUCUCCUUAUUAACUCAUUGUCACAUAAACAAAUUUGCUGAGUUGAAUUCGAUGUUACUGCUGAAGUUAGUCCUACUGUGGCUAGUCUGAUAGCAAGGGAUCGGGUGAGAGACUCAUACGAUUGACUAGAGAGUUAGGCACAUGGAUGUCCACACGAUUGAGCGAGCACCCCGGCCCGCAGUACAUAUAUCCUCGUUGCUCACAGCCUCAACGCACACAGUUCUCGUACUGAUCCACACAAGAGGACCUUAGCUACUCUUAACCCAUGGAGAGAUCGUCGUCCCCUUCAAAGGUUCUCCUCGUCUUCCUCCUGCAGUUCCUCCUGCUCUCUGAACCUCGGGAAGCAAGGAUACUAGGUGAUGCAUACGACUACAAGAACCUGCUCGCGUCGGGUGUCGAUGGAGAUGCCGCAGCGCUGCCCGCAUCACACCUGAACCUCGCCGACGUUGCAGGGAACAGGCGUCCUUUUGCGCCGCCAGCGCCGAAGGUGCCCCCACCACCACACCAUCUCCACGGAGAUGGCGCGCAUGAGCAGCAUAGGUCUCCGCCGGCGUCGACCUCCACUGAACCUGCACCACCGCGUGAUUACAGUCGCCAACAGGCUGAAGCUGCAGGACACCAACCGAUGAUGGAUGUAUCUCGCGCGUUUCUCCAAGCGAUCAUGGGAUAUGUGACGAAAAUGUAACAAACCACGCCCGCAUAUGGCCUUUUUUUUGUGAUGAAUCUCGUUGAAAUUGUAUCGUUUUGUGUAAAUUUUUCGCAUUUUAAAAUAGAGCACACAAGCUUUCAGCUCAAA